rnacentral:tRNA from 1 species
UGGUUCGUAGCUCAACUGGCAGAGCACUUCACUGUGAAUGAAGCCGUUGUCGGUUCAAAUCCGAUCGAUCCACCCA